rnacentral:tRNA from 1 species
GCCACCUUAGCUCAGUGGUAGAGCACCUGUUUUGUAAACAGGGGGUCCUGGGUUCGAGACCCAGAGGUGGCU